AGUGAACGCUGGCGGUAGGCCUAACACAUGCAAGUCGAACGGCAGCACAGUAAGAGCUUGCUCUUACGGGUGGCGAGUGGCGGACGGGUGAGGAAUACAUCGGAAUCUACUUUUUCGUGGGGGAUAACGUAGGGAAACUUACGCUAAUACCGCAUACGACCUACGGGUGAAAGCAGGGGAUCUUCGGACCUUGCGCGAUUGAAUGAGCCGAUGUCGGAUUAGCUAGUUGGCGGGGUAAAGGCCCACCAAGGCGACGAUCCGUAGCUGGUCGGAGAGGAUGAUCAGCCACACUGGAACUGGAACACGGUCCAGACUCCUACGGGAGGCAGCAGUGGGGAAUAUUGGACAAAGGGCGCAAGCAUGAUCCAGCCAUACCGGGUGGGUGAAGAAGGCCUUCGGGUUGUAAAGCCCUUUUGUUGGGAAAGAAAAGCAGCAGGUUAAUACCCCGCUGUUCUGACGGUACCCAAAGAAUAAGCACCGGCUAACUUCGUG
rnacentral:rRNA from 1 species